CAGCCGCCGCGGUAAUACCGGCGGCCCGAGUGGUGGCCGCUAUUAUUGGGCUUAAAGCGUCCGUAGCCGGGUUGGUUAGUCUCCCGGGAAAUCUGGCCGCUUAACGGUCAGAAUUCCGGGAGAUACUGCCAGCCUAGGGACCGGGAGAGGCCGAGGGUAUUCCCGGAGUAGGGGUGAAAUCCUAUAAUCCCGGGAGGACCACCUGUGGCGAAGGCGCUCGGCUGGAACGGGUCCGACGGUGAGGGACGAAGGCCAGGGGAGCAAACCGGAUUAGAUACCCGGGUAGUCCUGGCGGUAAACGAUGCGGACUUUGUGUCGGACAAGCUAUGAGCUUGUCCGGUGCCGGAGGGAAACCGUUAAGUCCGCCGCCUGGGGAGUACGGCCGCAAGGCUGAAACUUAAAGGAAUUGGCGGG
rnacentral:rRNA from 1 species